rnacentral:lncRNA from 1 species
UUAUCUCUACAUGGGGACAAGGGAUGCAAGUAAAGACUAGAGAGGGGAAUGAGAGACGAUAAGUAAAAAAAAAAAAAAAUCAUUCCUAAUUUAAGGUUAAAAUCCUGAACUCAGUGAAAAGAAAUCACUCCAGUAAAUGAACAAUGUUUAGUUUGCAAGUCAUACCCAGAUCCUGAUCUCGCCCACUGCUGGAAUGGAGGAUAUUUACAUGAAAGAAUAACAAUGUGGAGGGUGGAAGAGUAGAAAAUCACGUGUUUUGAGUCAAAAUUGCUUUUGCAUUAUUUGGCUACGCAGGUAUUACUGAUAGCAAAGUGCUCAGCUGUUUAAAUAUAUGUUAUGUUUUAGCUGGAUAAUUAUUUUCUGUCCUGUCUGAUGUAGAAAUUGAAUUCCACCCCCCCACACACUCACUAAUGUGUGUGCAAUCUGCAGCCUUUUUCUGUGACUUUGCUGCCAUCUGGUGGAGGUAAAAAUGGCGCUCAAUCUUAGCGGAAGUGACGUAGUAAAAUGCGCUCUCGCUAGGCUUUCUCCAGCUACAUGCUGAGAGCGAUGUUCUUGCGUUAAAAAUACAGAGUUUAGGUUGUGUGAAAUAGAUCCUAUCCAGUUUAAUUCACCCACAGCUGAAUACAGAUAAAGAGUUAAGAUAAGCGUUAGCCACUCGGUGACGUUUGCCGGUGGGCGGAGUCCAACAGGCGGGACAUAAAAACGAGAUGCACCGCGCUCUUCUUCCACUUCCUACGAUCUUCUACCAGAGGUAAGACUUGUGCAAUACUUAGCCGCUUUAUUUCAGAUGCAGAGUUUAUCCACUAAUUGGAUGAUUUUAAAGAAAGAAACUACUGUAGUGAUACUGCAGUCUCACAUGUGGAGCUGCUGGAAACGUGCUUCCUGCACAGGCAUGGCCUGUGAUGACACUUCAUACAUCAGGUCCUCUGAUGUGAACCCCGCAGUGUUCAGAGUGGCUUAAAUUCACAGAG